AGAUUGAACGCUGGCGGCAUGCCUAACACAUGCAAGUCGAGCGGCAGCGCGGGGGCGACCCUGGCGGCGAGUGGCGGACGGGUGAGUAAGGCAUCGGAAUCUGCCCUGAUGUGGGGGAUAACGUAGGGAAACUUACGCUAAUACCGCAUACGACCGAGAGGUGAAAGCGGGGGAUCGAAAGACCUCGCGCCGGUGGAUGAGCCGAAGCCGGAUUAGCUAGUUGGUAGGGUAAUGGCCUACCAAGGCGACGAUCCGUAGCUGGUCUGAGAGGACGACCAGCCACACUGGGACUGAGACACGGCCCAGACUCCUACGGGAUGCAGC
rnacentral:rRNA from 1 species